rnacentral:rRNA from 1 species
CUACACAUGCAGUCAAGGGCUGGAAGCUUGCUUCCAGCACUGGCGCACGGGUGAGUAACGCGUAGACAAUUUACCUCUGAGUGGGGGAUAACAUCUCGAAAGGGGUGCUAAUACCGCAUAAAGCAACGAGCUCGCAUGAGUUUGUUGUUAAAGCAGCAAUGCGCUUGAAGAUGAGUCUGCGUCCGAUUAGUUAGUUGGUAGGGUAACGGCCUACCAAGACGAUGAUCGGUAGCUGGUCUGAGAGGAUGAUCAGCCACACGGGGACUGAGACACGGCCCCGACUCCUACGGGAGGCAGCAGUGAGGAAUCUUGCGCAAUGGACGAAAGUCUGACGCAGCCACGCCGCGUGAAGGAUGAAUGCCCUAUGGGUUGUAAACUUCUUUUGUCAGGAAAGAAUGGUCGGGAUUUGUCCCGGCAGUGACGGUACCUGAUGAAUAAGCACCGGCUAACUCCGUGCCAGCAGCCGCGGUAAUACGGAGGGUGCAAGCGUUGUCCGGAUUUAUUGGGUGUAAAGGGUGCGUAGGCGGGCUUGUAAGUCUGGGGUGAAAUCUUGCCGCUUAACGGCAAAACUGCCUUGGAUACUGCAAGUCUUGAGUGUGAGAGAGGUCGGUGGAAUUCGUGGUGUAGCGGUGAAAUGCUUAGAUAUCACGAAGAACACCUGUGGUGAAGACGGCCGGCUGGAUCACAACUGACGCUGAGGCACGAGAGCGUGGGGAGCAAACAGGAUUAGAUACCCUGGUAGUCCACGCCGUAAACGUUGCGUGCUAGGUGUUGGCCCUUAGGGGGUCGGCGCCGUAGCUAACGCGUUAAGCACGCCACCUGGGGAGUACGUCGGCAACGAUGAAACUCAAGGAAUUGACGGGGGCCCGCACAAGCGGUGGAGCAUGUGGCUUAAUUCGAUGCAACGCGAAGAACCUUACCCGGGCUA